GACGAACGCUGGCGGCGUGCUUAACACAUGCAAGUCGAACGGAUUGGCGAACAGGUGAGUAACACGUGGGUGACCUGCCCUGCACUUCGGGAUAAGCCUGGGAAACUGGGUCUCAUACCGGAUAGUGUGGGAUGGGCCCGCGGCCUAUCAGCUUGUUGGUGGGGUAAUGGCCUACCACGGCGGCUACGACUCGCCGGCCUGAAGGGGUGGACGGCCCGGUUGGGACUGAGACACAGCACAGACUCCUACGUGAGGCAGCAGUGAGGAAUAUUGCACAAUGGGUGGAGGACUGAUGGAGGUACGACGGGUUGUGGGUGACUGACUUCGUGUUGUAAACUCCUUUCAUCAUCUCCGCGGUAGAUAUCGAAGAAUCACCGGCUAACUACGUGCCAGCAGCCGCGGUAAUUC
rnacentral:rRNA from 1 species